AUUGAACGCUGGCGGCAGGCCUAACACAUGCAAGUCGAACGGUAGCACAGAGAGCUUGCUCUCGGGUGACGAGUGGCGGACGGGUGAGUAAUGUCUGGGAAACUGCCCGAUGGAGGGGGAUAACUACUGGAAACGGUAGCUAAUACCGCACAAUGUCGCAAGACCAAAGAGGGGGACCUUCGGGCCUCUUGCCAUCGGAUGUGCCCAGAUGGGAUUAGCUAGUUGGUGAGGUAAUGGCUCACCAAGGCGACAAUCCCUAGCUGGUCUGAGAGGAUGACCAGCCACACUGGAACUGAGACACGGUCCAGACUCCUACGGGAGGCAGCAGUGGGGAAUAUUGCACAAUGGGCGCAAGCCUGAUGCAGCCAUGCCGCGUGUGUGAAGAAGGCCUUCGGGUUGUAAAGCACUUUCAGCGGGGAGGAAGGCAAUACGGUUAAUAACCGUGUUGAUUGACGUUACCCGCAGAAGAAGCACCGGCUAACUCCGUG
rnacentral:rRNA from 1 species